rnacentral:rRNA from 1 species
GAUGAACGCUAGCGGCAGGCCUAACACAUGCAAGUCGAGGGGUAACUAGAGUGAUAGCAAUAUUACUUUGGCUAGACCGGCGCACGGGCGCGUAACACGUAUGCAACCUACCUUAUACUGGGGAAUAACUUCGAGAAAUCGGCGCUAAUACCCCAUAACAUUGCGAAGAGGCAUCUCUUUGCAUUUAAAGUUCCGGCGGUAUAAGAUGGGCAUGCGUCCAAUUAGCUAGUUGGUGAGGUAACGGCUCACCAAGGCUACGAUUGGUAGGGGUUCUGAGAGGAUGAUCCCCCACACUGGUACUGAGACACGGACCAGACACCUACGGGAGGCAGCAGUGAGGAAUAUUGCGCAAUGGACGAAAGUUUGACGCAGCCAUGCCGCGUGCAGGAUGACGGCCCUAUGGGUUGUAAACUGCUUUUGUACGGGAAUAAACCCUUCUACGUGUAGGAGGCUGAAGGUACCGUAAGAAUAAGCACCGGCUAACUCCGUGCCAGCCGCCGCCGUAAAAC